CCUACGGGAGGCAGCAGUGAGGAAUAUUGGUCAAUGGUCGCAAGCCUGAACCAGCCAAGUAGCGUGAAGGAUGACUGCCCUACGGGUUGUAAACUUCUUUUAUACAGGGAUAAAGUGCGGCACGUGUGCCUUUUUGUAUGUACUUUAUGAAUAAGGAUCGGCUAACUCCGUGCCAGCAGCCGCGGUAAUACGGAGGAUCCGAGCGUUAUCCGGAUUUAUUGGGUUUAAAGGGAGCGUAGGCGGGUUGUUAAGUCAGUUGUGAAAGUUUGUGGCUCAACCGUAAAAUUGCAAUUGAAACUGGCAGGCUUGAGUACAGGUGAGGUAGGCGGAAUUCGUGGUGUAGCGGUGAAAUGCUUAGAUAUCACGAAGAACUCCGAUUGCGAAGGCAGCAUACUAAACUGCUACUGACACUGAUGCUCGAAAGUGGGGGUAUCAAACAGGAUUAGAUACCCUAGUAGUC
rnacentral:rRNA from 1 species